rnacentral:rRNA from 1 species
AACGCGAAGAACCUUACCUACCCUUGACAUCCUAAGAAUUCUGCAGAGAUGCGGAAGUGCCGAAAGGAAUUUAGAGACAGGUGCUGCAUGGCUGUCGUCAGCUCGUGUUGUGAGAUGUUGGGUUAAGUCCCGUAACGAGCGCAACCCUUAUCCUUAGUUGCCAACAUGUAAUGGUGGGGACUCUAAGGAGACUGCUGGUGAAGAACCGGAGGAAGGCGGGGACGACGUCAAGUCAUCAUGGCCUUUAUGGGUAGGGCAACACACGUGCUACAAUGGGAUUUACAGAGGGAAGCCAACCUGCGAAGGGGAGCCAAUCUCAGAAAAGAUCUCGUAGUCCGGAUUGGAGUCUGCAACUCGACUCCAUGAAGUUGGAAUCGCUAGUAAUCGCGAAUCAGAACGUCGCGGUGAAUACGUUCCCGGGCCUUGUA